GAUUGAUGCUCAAAGGUUCCAAAAGAGAAAGCUUUCAGAAGCACUUUUCGGAUGCUCAGAAGUGCUUUUCCUAUCUGAUGAUAGAUUUCGAAACGGGCGUUUCCAUGGCUUCAUUGCAACCUCUGAUAUGGUUUUGUUGGCUAAUUGUUUCUGCAGGAGGACAUGUUCAACACCAUUAUGAUAAGGUGAAUCAUUUGGCUUGAUCUCAGCAUUCGAUACCGAAGCUUCGGGCAAACCAUGAACAUCCAAAAAUAAAUUCGUGGCAUUUUCAGAAGUGCUUGAAUGAACUUGCUGCGUGUUAAUAGUCUCCAGAUCAGUAGAUUCAUCCCAAGCACGGGAUACACGCCUGACCACUAUCUUCAGAUGUUGCCUUUAUCCACCUCCAGAUUAUCAAGAGUAUAUUGUCUCAUCAAAUUCCAUCUCCUUUCCACAAACUGGACGAUUGUCACUUCUCUCCAUCCAUUCAUAGAUGCAUAAUGACGAGAGCAUUUUGUCAUUAUCUUGGGAUUCUCUUUAGUACAUUCUUCAAGGCUAGUUGGACAAGAUAUCCUCUUCUUUUGAUGAUGACGUGAAAACAAACCCAACUCCAGUUGUCUGCUGAGUUUAGAGGCUCUGCAUCAUAUGGUAAGGGCCUUGGAGGAGAACGGUACACGUCCGGUAGAGGAUUAUCAAGUGACGCUGCAGAUGUCAUGGAUGUUG